GCCCCCCGAAUUGUAGUCUAGAAAAGCACCAUCGGCCGCGUCCGGCGCUCAAAUCCCUUGGAAUAGGGUAUCGGAGAAGGUGAGAAUCCUGUGCCGUGUCGGCACGCGGCCGCACGAUGUGCUCUUGUCGAGUCGGGUUGCUUGGGAUUGCAGCUUGAAGUGGGUGGUAAAUUCCAUCUAAAGCUAAAUAUUGGCUCAUGACCGAUAGCGAACAAGUACCGUGAGGGAAAGAUGCAAAGAACUUUGAAAAGAGAGUUAAAGAGUGCUUGAAAUCGGCAAGAGGAAACCCGUUUGCGCCCGGCUUCGUGCCGUCGACUCAGCCGUGCGCGUGCUUUCUCGGGACCGCAAGGCCCGUUGGCUGUAGCGCGCGGUGCACUUUGUCGGCACGGGUCAUCCGCCACCGUGGACUCGUCACAUUUCUCGGGGAGGGGCUUCGGCGAUCCCUGGGCAGCGGCGAGUCCUAGGUGCCGGCUGACGGAACGGGCGCAACCGACCCGUCUAGAAACACGGACCAAGGAGUCUGACAGGGUUGCGAGUUCCCGGGUGGAAAGCCCGCGAGCGCAAUGAAAGUGAAGGGCGUGCCCCGCCAACCGACCUUGAUCUACUGUGAAGGGUUUGAGUGGAGCAUCUCUGUCGGGACCCGAAAGAUGGUGAACUAUGCCUGAGGAGGGUGAAGCCUGAGGAAACUCAGGUGGAGGCUCGUAGCGAUACUGACGUGCAAAUCGUUCGUCGAACUUGGGUAUAGGGGCGAAAGACUAAUCGAACCAUCUAGUAGCUGGUUCCCUCCGAAGUUUCCCUCAGGAUAGCUUGAACGCCACGGUUUUGU
rnacentral:rRNA from 1 species